UAACUCCUGUUGGAGAAGCAGGGCACGUGCAACUCACUUCUAGUUAAUCUGAUUUUGCACGUGCUCCCCUUCUCCAACACGAUUUU
rnacentral:pre_miRNA from 2 species